UACGUAGGCAGCAAGCGUUGUUCGGAAUUACUGGGCGUAAAGAGUGUGUAGGCGGUGCUCCAAGUCUGGUGUGAAACCUCCCGGCUUAACUGGGAGGGUGCAUUAGAAACUGGAAUGCUAGAGGAUGGGAGAGGUAAGCGGAAUUCCUGGUGUAGCGGUGAAAUGCGUAGAUAUCAGGAGGAACACCUGUGGUGUAGACAGCUUACUGGACCAUUUCUGACGCUGAGACACGAAAGCGUGGGUAGCAAACAGG
rnacentral:rRNA from 1 species